GGGUGACUCGCGGGCAUUCUCCCCGCUUCUCGCAGAAAUCGCCCGGAAAUGGGAGCUUGCGCGAAGCGCUGAUCGGCCCGCUGGGGAAGCUCAUGGACCCGGGCUCCCUGCCGCCCCUCGACUCUGAAGAUCUCUUCCAGGAUCUAAGUCACUUCCAGGAGACGUGGCUCGCUGAAGCUCAAAUCCAACUACCCUGGAACUCUCCAUAGAAGCUCGGAGUAAAAAGAAAAUGACCCCUGACUAGAUCCUUGGAGUGAGACUAGCUCAGGUACCAGACAGUGAUGAGCAGUUUGUUCCUGAUUUCCAUUCAGAAAACCUAGCUUUCCACAGCCCCACCACCAGGAUCAAGAAGGAGCCCCAGAGUCCCCGCACAGACCCGGCCCUGUCCUGCAGCAGGAAGCCGCCACUCCCCUACCACCAUGGCGAGCAGUGCCUUUACUCCAGUGCCUAUGACCCCCCCAGACAAAUCGCCAUCAAGUCCCCUGCCCCUGGUGCCCUUGGACAGUCGCCCCUACAGCCCUUUCCCCGGGCAGAGCAACGGAAUUUCCUGAGAUCCUCUGGCACCUCCCAGCCCCACCCUGGCCAUGGGUACCUCGGGGAACAUAGCUCCGUCUUC
rnacentral:lncRNA from 1 species